GCAAGUCGAACGGGAAACUUUUUUAGCUUGCUUUAAAAGUUUCUAGUGGCGAACGGGUGAGUAACACGUGAGUUACCUGCCCCAAAGCGGGGGAUAGCCUUCCGAAAGGAAGAUUAAUACCCCAUGUGAUCGCAAGAUUAAAGGCGGCUUUGGCUGUCGCUUUGGGAUGGGCUCGCGGCCUAUCAGCUAGUUGGUGAGGUAAAAGCUCACAAAGGCGAUGACGGGUAGCUGGUCUGAGAGGACGACC
rnacentral:rRNA from 1 species